UACUCGAAAGAGUAGCUAAUACCGCAUGAGAUCUACGGAUGAAAGCAGGGGACCUUCGGGCCUUGUGCUACUAGAGCGGCUGAUGGCAGAUUAGGUAGUUGGUGGGGUAAAGGCUUACCAAGCCUGCGAUCUGUAGCUGGUCUGAGAGGACGACCAGCCACACUGGGACUGAGACACGGCCCAGACUCCUACGGGAGGCAGCAGUGGGGAAUUUUGGACAAUGGGCGAAAGCCUGAUCCAGCAAUGCCGCGUGCAGGAUGAAGGCCCUCGGGUUGUAAACUGCUUUUGUACGGAACGAAAAGCCUGGGGCUAAUACCCCCGGGUCAUGACGGUACCGUAAGAAUAAGCACCGGCUAACUACGUGCCAGCAGCCGCGGUAAUACGUAGGGUGCAAGCGUUAAUCGGAAUUACUGGGCGUAAAGCGUGCGCAGGCGGUUUUGUAAGACAGUGGUGAAUCCCCGGGCUCAACCUGGGAACUGCCAUUGUGACUGCAAGGCUAGAGUGCGGCAGAGGGGGAUGGAAUUCCGCGUGUAGCAGUGAAAUGCGUAGAUAUGCGGAGGACACCGAUGGCGAAGGCAAUCCCCUGGGCCUGCACUGACGC
rnacentral:rRNA from 1 species